AUUUUCUCCUUUUGUUUAUUUUUGUCCCUUGGUUUAUUUAGUAAGAAAAAGAUAGAAGAAAGAAAGUGUUGGCUCCGUAGAUUUGAGCCUGGUACUCACCUGGACCAAAAAAAUUCUAAGCAAGCUUUUCCCUUUUGGUUUGCUUUUGUUUCUUUGCCAAAAGGAGAGGACACUGAUGUCAAAAGAGAUGAUCUUGCAAGGGCUCUAAUGGUAGCUUUCUCAUCAACACCUCUUCUUGAGCCAUAUGUCAUUCCCUUGCUUCUUGAAAAACUCUCUUCUUCUCUGCCAUCAUCAAAGCUUGGUGGAGGUUAUCUAUUUGGGUUGCCUUUGGGGUUCGUUGCUGAUUCUAUUGGUGCAACAAUUGGUGCUACAGCUGCAUUUAUUCUUGAUAGAACAGUGAGUAUUGUAGACCAUAGUUUUCUUUAAGGACAAUUAAUUUUUUAAUUUUCUUUAACUAGAUUUAAGAUGCUUGCAAGUUGAAAGUGCUUGUCAUAUAUUAGACCAUAUUUUUCCUCAUUUAUUGUGUUUAGUUUUAAUAUUUGAUUAUAGAUGCUUGCCUUAUAUUGAGCUCUAAUUUCAAAAAAUAAGAGAACUUCACUGGUUCUAUAGCAGGAUUUUACAUGACCAAACCAAUGUUUGAUUAGCUUAUAUUUGAUUAUACUCUGUUUGAUUAGCUUAAUGGUCCAUUGAUUGUGAAGAAAACAUAAAAACUAAAUUCUUCUUUUGCUCAUUUUGGAUAUAGCAUGCUCUCUUUUAUGUUAGUAGACUUCCAAAUCUUUGAAAUUAGAACCUUCUUUGUUUACUCUAUGCAAGUAGGAUAUGAUCUUCUGAUCCAAACCAAUAGUAAUUCAAUCUAGAAGUUAGUUGUACCAAACUAGUUUUUUAAGCUGUUGGUCUCGACAGAGUUGUUAAUUAGUUGUGGUGCUUAAGUAUAGAUGACUGUUUGAUCUUAUAUGUGUUCCUAGUUAUGGUUGUUGUGGUGGUAUUGUUUUUGUACCA